GGAGAUAUGGCUCAGUGGUAGAGCAUUUGCCUGCUAUGCAUGAAGGCCUGGAUUCAAUCCACGUAAAUGCA
rnacentral:tRNA from 1 species